rnacentral:rRNA from 1 species
AAUAGAUACCCAGGUAGUCCACGCCGUAAACGAUGAGUGCUAAGUGUUAGAGGGUUUCCGCCCUUUAGUGCUGCAGCUAACGCAUUAAGCACUCCGCCUGGGGAGUACGGUCGCAAGACUGAAACUCAAAGGAAUUGACGGGGGCCCGCACAAGCGGUGGAGCAUGUGGUUUAAUUCGAAGCAACGCGAAGAACCUUACCAGGUCUUGACAUCCCACUGACCGGUAUAGAGAUAUACCUUUCCCUUCGGGGACAGUGGUGACAGGUGGUGCAUGGUUGUCGUCAGCCCGUGUCGUGAGAUGUUGGGUUAAGUCCCGCAACGAGCGCAACCCUUGAUCUUAGUUGCCAGCAUUUAGUUGGGCACUCUAAGGUGACUGCCGGUGACAAACCGGAGGAAGGUGGGGAUGACGUCAAAUCAUCAUGCCCCUUAUGACCUGGGCUACACACGUGCUACAAUGGAUGGUACAAAGGGCUGCAAGACUGCGAAGUCAAGCCAAUCCCAUAAAACCAUUCUCAGUUCGGAUUGCAGG